rnacentral:lncRNA from 1 species
AAAAGGCAAAGGCUCCCAUUUAAAAUCAGCAGGCUUUGUGUAACAUGCAGAAUGUUCUGGAAAACGAGGUGCUCUUAAGAGUCAAUGAGUUUUUUUCCUUGUAAACCCCAGAUGCCAUUGUAAAUGCGCAAGACAAGAACAAGCCACUGGAGCCUCUCUGGCAGCUCAUUUUGGUGAGGACUCAGAGCAUGUGAGGUGAGUGAGGAAGACUGGAGGCUGCUGUUUAAAACUCAAGGCUUCAGGUAGGAGCUGGGUCCUGAACUUCCUGAUAAAAUGCAUUUUCAAAGUCCUAGAUGAGUGCUUGGUAACUUAGUCCUUGCUGUUCUCCCUGACAAUGAGAACCUUGAAUGAUAAGCUUAACCCUACUAUUCGCAUUUUAAAUAUGAUAAAUACAGCAAUUUGUGGAUUCCUGAUAAUUUGUCUGCUAAAACUCAACAGUCAUACUUUUCUUCUUUCUUUGAAAUGAUUUAAAACAUAAUAUGGGAGCAAAAAUAGCACUGUAUUUUUUUUCUUGAAUACAUUGAGACUAUUUAUGACAUAAUGUCUCAGCUCUCAUGAAUAUUUUGGUAUGAAUUUCUUACAAAUAAGUAUAUUCUCCUAUAUAUUCAUAUGCAAUCACCAAAGUAAGGAAAUUAAGAAUAUUCCAUGACUAUCAGGUAAUCUUUAGGACUCUUUUAAGUUUCAGUUGUUGCCUUAAGGUCUUUUACACCAAGACCUUGCAAUUCAGAUUACGCAUUCUAUUUAGUUAUCAUCUCCUUAUUUUCUUUUAAUCUGUAGCAGUUAAUUGUUUUUUUUUUUUUUUGAGUCAUGACUGUUACACUUUUGGAGAUUAUGGGCCAAUUAAAGAAUGUUCUUUGUGGUUCAUUUAAUAUUUUAUUAGAUUCAGCUUAUGCAUUUUUGCCAGAAAUAUGACAGGUGUAAUGGUAUGGUCUUUUCUUUGCUUCUGGUCAGGUGUUACAUUAUUUUUUAUUUGUCCCAUUAUUGAUGAUGUUAAAUUCAAUCACCUGAUUGAGGUUGUGCCUGAUAAUUUCUUUAUUGUAAAGUUACUCCUUUUUCCUUUGCAGGAAAAGCCUUUUAACAUCCUUAUUGAGGUAUAUACUUUACUAUUAAAAACCAUAAAUUUACCCAUUUAAAUGUAUAAUUAAAUGACUUUUAAUACAUUUUCACAGUUAUGAAAUCACCACAAUCCACUUUUAGAGUAUUUCCAUCACCUCCCCCAAGAGAUCCUUAUGCCCACUUGUAGUCGAUUUUUGUUUUACUCCUAGCUCAAAGAAACCACUGAUGAACUUUUUUCCCUAAAAUUUUGCCUUCCUAGAUAGAUCUCCAAAAUCAUACAGUAUGUCAUCUCUGUGGGAAAGCACUUUGAGGCUUGUCAAUAUCAUUUUCUUCAUCACAUUUUCACAGCUGUAUGGACUCAUUGAUGUUGAAUAGCUAAUGUAUCUUGUUCAAUAUGUAUUCCCCUAAUGAUGUAAUAAUGAGCAUGUUUUCAUGCUUAGUUACUAUCUAUACAUCUUUGGUGUGAUAUGUUCAGAUCUUCUGUCUAUAAUUGGAUUUUUAAUUUCCUUUUGUUGAACUUUAAGAGUUCUUUAUGUGUUUUGGAUCCAAGUCCUUUAUAAGACUUGAAGAUAAGAAAAUUGUAAAUAUUUUCUUCGAUCUUGUGCUUGUCCAUAUUUUAAACAGUAUUUUGUAGAGCAAGAUUUAUAAUACUAAUAAAUCCAGUUUAUCAUUUUUUUUCCUCCUCAUGAUUCAUGCUUUUGCUGUUAUGUCUAAAAAUAUCACCAAACCUAAGAAUCAUUUAGAUUUUCUCCUAAGUUCUAUUCUAGAUGUUUUAUAUUUAGCCCUUUAUAUUUAGGCCUUUGACCUAAUUGAGAUAAUUUUUGUGUGUAGUAAAAGGUCUGUUUCCAUGUUUUGGGUUUUUUUUUUUUUUUUUCCCAUAGAGAUGUCUAAUUGUACCAGCACAAGUUUUUGAAAGGACUGUAUUUUCUCCAUUCGUUUUUUUUUUUUUCUCUUUGACAAAAGUCAGUGGACUAUAUUUUUAUGAGUCUGAUUCUCAGUUCUCCAUUGUGUUCCAUUGAUCUGUGUGUAUAUUCUUUCACUAAUAUUAUGCUGUCAUGAUUACUGCAGCUUUAUAGUUGUCUUGAAAGCAAGUGUGAGGCAUUCUCCAACUUUAGUUACCAAUAUUAUGUUGACUAUUCUUUUUUUUAUAUAUUCACAUCAAUUUUAGAAUUGAUUUUUUCAAUAUCUCCAAAAUAGCUCACUAGGAUUCUGAUUGUGGUUGCACUGAAUCUAUAGAUCAAGUUGAGAAGAAAUGAUACUUCAACAACAUUGUUUCUGACAAUUCAUAGACAAAAAUAAUGCUCCAUUAAUUUAGAUCUUUUUAAAAAAAUUCUUUAAUGUUUCAUAGUUUUCUGCCUAAAGAAUCUGUGAUAUUUUGUUUAGGUUUCUACAUAAGUAUUUCAUUUUUUUGUGUUACUGUAAAUGGUACUUUUAAAAAUUUCCAGUUAUUUUUGUUCAUUGCUGGCAUUUAGAAAAGCAAUUGAUUUGUUUACAUUGUUUAUGUAUAAAAACAGGAACUCACUACUUGCCAACUCACUACUUAGUUCCAGAAUUUUUUUUAAUUUUUUUUCUUUUUUGAGCCUUUUGCUUUUCUCCAUAGACAAUCUUGCCAUCUAUGAAUAAAAACAGUUGAUGCUUUCUUUCCUAGCUGUAUAUAUUGCAUUUAUUUUUUGUCUAUAUAUUAGUUAGGACUUCGAAUAUUAUGUCGAAAAACAGUGUUGUGAGAUUUCCUUGACUUGUUCCCAGUUCUUAGAGUAAUGUUUGAUUUCCCUUAACUAUAAGUUGUUUUGUUUUAUAUUCCUUUAUUAGCUUAAGGAAGUUCACUUUUUACUCUUUGUUUUUUUAAGAUAUUUUUUCACAGAAGGGUAUAGGAAUUUGUCAAAUGUUUUUUCUACAUCUAUUGAAAUUAUAAGGCUUUUGUUAUUUGGUCUGAUAAUAACGAUAAAUUAGAGUGAUUGCUUCAUAAAUGUUGAACAGGUUUUGCAUUUGUAAAAUAAAGUCCACUUGAUUUUAAUAUAUUAUCUUUAUGUAUUUAUGGCUUUGAUUUGCUCAUAUUUUUUUCAAAGUUUUCAUGUCAUAUUCAUGAGAUGUGUUGAUUAUAGUUUUCUUUUUGUCUUUAUGUGGUUUAUAUGGUUUAUAUUAUACUAGCCUCAUAAAAUUUAUUUACAUCUCUCCUAUUUUCUGGAAAAUAUGGUGGAAAAUGGAUAUUAUUUCUGUGUUAAAUGCUUUGUAGCUUUCACCUAUGAAACCUGGAGUCUAGUAUUUUAUUUUGUUGGAAGGCUUUAAAUUAUUUCAACUUAUUAAUAAAGAACUUUUCAAAAAAAAAAGGAUUUCCCAUCGUGGUGCAGUGGAAAGGAAUCCGAAUAAGAACCAUGAGGGUGCAGGUUCGAUCCCUGGCCUUGCUCAAUGGGUUAAGGAUCUGGCUUUGCAUUGAGCUGUGGUGUAGGUUGCAGACUCAGCUCAGAUCCUGUGUUGCUGUGGCUAUGGCAUAGGCCAACAGCUGCAGCUCUGAUUUGACCCCUACCCUGGGAACCUCCAUAUGACCCAAGUGCGGCCCUAAAA